UAAAAAGCUCGUAGUUGGAUCUGUGUAUCGGACGGUCGGUUCGCCGCUCGCGGUGUUUGACUGACCGGUCCGGACGUCAUGCCGGUGGGGCUUCGGCGCGAGUCGGAGCUCCGUAAUUAACCCUCCGCGCUGCUCUUAACCGAGUGGUUCGGUGGGCCGGCACGUUUACUUUGAACAAAUUUGAGUGCUCAAAGCAGGCCUUAUGUUGCCUGAAAACUGUGUGCAUGGAAUAAUGGAAUAGGACCUUGGUUCUAUUUUGUUGGCUUUCUGAACUUGAGGUAAUGAUUAACAGGGACAGACGGGGGCAUUCGUAUUGCGACGUUAGAGGUGAAAUUCUUGGAUCGUCGCAAGACGGACCGAUGCGAAAGCGUUUGCCAAGAAUGUUUUCGCUAAUCAAGAACGAAAGUUAGAGGUUCGAAGGCGAUUAGAUACCGCCCUAGUUCUAACCAUAAACGAUGUCAGCCAGCGAUGCGCCGAUGUUCCUCCGAUGACACGGCGCGCAACUUCCGGGAAACCAAAGCUUUUGGGUUCCGGGG
rnacentral:rRNA from 3 species